rnacentral:rRNA from 1 species
UACGGAGGAUGCAAGCGUUAUCCGGAAUGAUUGGGCGUAAAGCGUCCGCAGGUGGCUAUGUAAGUCUGCUGUUAAAGAGUGAGGCUCAACCUCAUAAGAGCAGUGGAAACUACAUAGCUAGAGUGCGUUCGGGGCAGAGGAAAUUCCUGGUGUAGCGGUGAAAUGCGUAGAUAUCAGGAAGAACACCGGUGGCGAAAGCGCUCUGCUAGGCCGCAACUGACACUGAGGGACGAAAGCUAGGGGAGCGAAUGGG